rnacentral:tRNA from 1 species
GGGAAUGUGGCUUAGUGGUAGAGUACUUGCCUAGCAUGCACGAAGCCCUGGGUUCGAUUCCUCAGUACCA